rnacentral:rRNA from 1 species
UACGGAGGGUGCGAGCGUUAUCCGGAAUCACUGGGUUUAAAGGGUGCGUAGGCGGGGUGGUAAGUCAGAGGUGAAAGCUUCCCGCUUAACGGGAGAGGUGCCUUUGAUACUGCCAGGCUUGAAUUGGGUUGAGGCAGGCGGAAUGUGGCAUGUAGCGGUGAAAUGCAUAGAUAUGCUAUAGAACACCGAUUGCGAAGGCGGCCGGCCAAGCCGUGAUUGACGCUGAGGCACGAAAUCGUGGGGAGCGAACAUG